rnacentral:rRNA from 1 species
GACGGACGCUGGCGGCGUGCUUAACACAUGCAAGUCGAGCGGUAAGGCCCUUUCGGGGGUACACGAGCGGCGAACGGGUGAGUAACACGUGGGUGACCUGCCUUUAGCUCUGGGAUAAGCCUGGGAAACCGGGUCUAAUACCGGAUAUGACUCCGCGGCGCAUGUUGUGGGGUGGAAAGCCUUGUGCGGCUGGAGAUGGGCCCGCGGCCUAUCAGCUUGUUGGUGGGGUGAUGGCCUACCAAGGCGACGACGGGUAGCCGGCCUGAGAGGGCGACCGGCCACACUGGGACUGAGACACGGCCCAGACUCCUACGGGAGGCAGCAGUGGGGAAUCUUGCGCAAUGGGCGAAAGCCUGACGCAGCGACGCCGCGUGAGGGAUGACGGCCUCGGUUGUAAC